rnacentral:pre_miRNA from 1 species
UUUUUAGCAUAAGUAUGUCCCAUACAAUUUUGGGGACAUACUUAUACUAAAA